rnacentral:rRNA from 1 species
UACGAGUACCCCAAGCGUUAUCCGGAAUCAUUGGGCGUAAAGGGUGUGUAGGCGGUCUCUUUAGUCUUCUGUCAAAAAUUUUGGCUCAACCAAAAGACUGCAGAGGAAACGGAGAGACUUGAGGGUGCGAGAGGUGAAUGGAACUCAUGGAGUAGGGGUGAAAUCCGUUGAUAUCAUGGGGAACACCGAAAGCGAAGGCAAUUCACUGGAGCAUUUCUGACGCUGAGACACGAAAGCGUGGGUAGCGAACUGG